rnacentral:rRNA from 1 species
GCAUAUCAAUAAGCGGAGGAAAAGAAAAUAACAAUGAUUUCCCUAGUAACGGCGAGUGAAGAGGAAAGAGCUCAAAGUUGGAACCUGUUUGGCUUAGCUAAACCGGAUUGUAAACUGUAGAAGUGUUUUCCAGGCACGCCAGAUAAAAAAGUCCUUUGGAACAGGGCAUCAUAGAGGGUGAGAAUCCCGUCUUUGGUCUGAGCAGUUGUCUUUUGUGAUACACUUUCAAAGAGUCAGGUUGUUUGGGAAUGCAGCCUAAAUUGGGUGGUAAAUCUCACCUAAAGCUAAAUAUUUGCGAGAGACCGAUAGCGAACAAGUACCGUGAGGGAAAGAUGAAAAGAACUUUGAAAAGAGAGUUAAACAGUAUGUGAAAUUGUUAAAAGGGAACCGUUUGGAGCCAGACUGGCUUGAUUGUAAUCAUUCUAGGCUUCGGCCUGGAUGCACUUGCGGUCUAUGCCUGCCAAUAACAGUUUUGCUUGGGGGAAAAAACUAUCAGGAAUGUGGCCCUUCGGGGUGUUAUAGCCUGGUAGAAAAUACCCUGGGCGGGACUGAGGAACGCAGUGAAUGCCUUUAGGCAAGAUUGCUGGGUGCUUUUGCUGAUAAAUGCUAGAAUUUCUGCUUCGGGUGGUGCUAGUGUUUAAAGGUAAAACUCGCCUAGUAUAUUUUUUAUUCGCUUAGGUUGUUGGCUUAAUGACUCUAAAUGACCCGUCUUGAAACACGGACCAAGGAGUCCACCAUAAGUGCAAGUAUUUGGGUGCCAAACUCAUAUGCGCAAGGAAACUGAUUGAUACGAAGCCGCAAGGCAGCAGUAUCACCCGGCGUUGACGUUUUAUACUGAAGCGACCGAGGUAAAGCACUUAUGAUGGGACCCGAAAGAUGGUGAACUAUGCCUGAAUAGGGUGAAGCCGGAGGAAACUCCGGUGGAGGCUCGUAGCGAUUCUGACGUGCAAAUCGAUCGUCAAAUUUGGGUAUAGGGGCGAAAGACUAAUCGAACCAUCUAGUAGCUGGUUCCUGCCGA